rnacentral:tRNA from 2 species
GCCGGAGUAGCUCAGCUGGUAGAGCAACUGAUUUGUAAUCAGUAGGUCGUGGGUUCGAGUCCCGCCUCCGGCU